rnacentral:rRNA from 1 species
UACGAAGGGGGCUAGCGUUGCUCGGAAUCACUGGGCGUAAAGGGUGCGUAGGCGGGUUUUUAAGUCAGGGGUGAAAUCCUGGAGCUCAACUCCAGAACUGCCUUUGAUACUGAAGAUCUUGAGUCCGGGAGAGGUGAGUGGAACUGCGAGUGUAGAGGUGAAAUUCGUAGAUAUUCGCAAGAACACCAGUGGCGAAGGCGGCUCACUGGCCCGAUACUGACGCUGAUGCACGAAAGCGUGGGGAGCAAACAGG